UCAAUAAACUGAACUUUAUUGAACUUUUGCGUGUCAGUAUUUUGCUUUAAAAAAGACAUUCGUCGGCAUCAUCUUGGCCGGUGGGGAGGAGAGUAUUUUGGACUCUGUACUGAGGUUGCCACUUGAACUCUUGAACCACAAUGGAAGCCUUAGUGCCAGUGAGCGAAGACCACAUUUGCUUAGCCAGCUGCAGAGCCAUCACAACAUCAGUUGAGCUUAUUUUAAAAUCACAAUUUUUCUGAGGAUUCGCUUUAGUGUUGCGGAACACUGGGUUGCAGCACUGGAACACGAGAACCACAGGGUUGUUUAAAGUGGCCAGCACCUUAGCAUCUUCCACUAAAGAACGGUCGAUGUUGCUGACGGCAUUCAAAGCAAAAGGGGUAACUUUGCAAGUUUGCUUGCCAAGAAGAGGAAUAACGUGGUGGCCGUAGUUGCAUUCACACACCAACGGCAUCAACAGCAUCUCGCCAGCCUUGGGCAUCUGCGGAUACAUGGCUUUUACAAAAUCUCUAAUUUGGUAAAAGCCUUGACGGGCUUUGUUCCCGUCAGAAUAAAAGUAUCCGCAAGAUUCAGAGCUAAAAGAAUUUAAAGAAGAUUUUAGAUCGUAGAAGCAGCACAUGGCAUCAGCAUUCUUCAUCUGCACCACACUGCGGCCCCACUUGUUGGUGACAAUUUUAGCCCUCUCUGGCGACUCUUUUAGAGCGCGUUGACCGUUCUCGCUGUUUAUAUCCAUCUCCACAAUUUGCUCCUUGUUAAUCAUAGGCAGCCCGUGCAGACAGUAGAGCUUUUCUUCAUUUGUUUUAUGUUCCCACACGACGCACCCGUUAGGGUUCCAAUCAGAAGGGCAAAUUUCAGCCGCUCUUAGCACAAAAUCAAAAACAAAUCUAGCCACCACAGUCUGUAAAGACUUUUGUGUUGAAAAAGUAAGCGGCACAAAUCUCUUCUGCUCGUUGAGCCAGCUUUGGACGCCUUUUCUGAAGCACUCCAUAGUGCCUGCGUCUGGAAGCAGCGUAAGAUCUUUUAUAUCCACUUUUAAUGGCACUAAAAAGCUU
rnacentral:misc_RNA from 1 species